rnacentral:rRNA from 1 species
AAUCAACGCUGGCGGCGUGCCUCAGACAUGCAAGUCGAACGAUUAAGACUUCCUUCGGGAAGUGCAUAAAGUGGCGCACGGGUGAGUAACACGUAAGUAAUCUACCCUCGAGUGGGGAAUAACAGUCGGAAACGACUGCUAAUACCGCAUAAUGCAGCGGCACCGCAAGGUGACAGUUGUUAAAGGAGCAAUCCGCUUGAGGAGGAGCUUGCGGCAGAUUAGCUAGUUGGUAAGGUAACGGCUUACCAAGGCUACGAUCUGUAUCCGGUCUAAGAGGACGGUCGGACACACUGACACUGAAUAACGGGUCAGACCCCCUACGGGAGGCAGCAGUCGGGAAUUUUGGGCAAUGGGCGAAAGCCUGACCCAGCAACGCCGCGUGAAGGAUGAAGUAUUUCGGUAUGUAAACUUCGAAAGAAUAGGAAGAAUAAAUGACGGUACUAUUUAUAAGCUCCGGCUAACUACGUGCCAGCCGCCGCCGUAAGAC